rnacentral:rRNA from 1 species
UGAGUAACACGUGGGUAACCUGCCCAUCAGAAGGGGAUAACACUUGGAAACAGGUGCUAAUACCGUAUAACAAUCGAAACCGCAUGGUUUUGAUUUGAAAGGCGCUUUCGGGUGUCGCUGAUGGAUGGACCCGCGGUGCAUUAGCUAGUUGGUGAGGUAACGGCUCACCAAGGCCACGAUGCAUAGCCGACCUGAGAGGGUGAUCGGCCACAUUGGGACUGGAGACACGGCCCAAACUCCUACGGGAGGCAGCAGUAGGGAAUCUUCGGCAAUGGACGAAAGUCUGACCGAGCAACGCCGCGUGAGUGAAGAAGGUUUUCGGAUCGUAAAACUCUGUUGUUAGAGAAGAACAAGGAUGAGAGUAACUGUUCAUCCCUUGACGGUAUCUAACCAGAAAGCCACGGCUAACUACGUGCCCAGCAGCCGCGGUAAUACGUAGGUGGCAAGCGUUGUCCGGAUUUAUUGGGCGUAAAGCGAGCGCAGGCGGUUUCUUAAGUCUGAUGUGAAAGCCCCCGGCUCAACCGGGGAGGGUCAUUGGAAACUGGGAGACUUGAGUGCAGAAGAGGAGAGUGGAAUUCCAUGUGUAGCGGUGAAAUGCGUAGAUAUAUGGAGGAACACCAGUUGGCCAAAGGCGGGCUCUCUGGUCUGUUACCUGCCGCCUGGGGGCUCGAAAGCGUGGGGAGCAAACAGGAUUAGAUACCCUGGUAGUCCACGCCGUAAACGAUGA